UAGGGAAUCUUCCACAAUGGACGCAAGUCUGAUGGAGCAACGCCGCGUGAGUGAAGAAGGUUUUCGGAUCGUAAAGCUCUGUUGUUGGUGAAGAAGGAUAGAGGCAGUAACUGGUCUUUAUUUGACGGUAAUCAACCAGAAAGUCACGGCUAACUACGUGCCAGCAGCCGCGGUAAUACGUAGGUGGCAAGCGUUGUCCGGAUUUAUUGGGCGUAAAGCGAGCGCAGGCGGAAUGAUAAGUCUGAUGUGAAAGCCCACGGCUCAACCGUGGAACUGCAUCGGAAACUGUCAUUCUUGAGUGCAGAAGAGGAGAGUGGAAUUCCAUGUGUAGCGGUGGAAUGCGUAGAUAUAUGGAAGAACACCAGUGGCGAAGGCGGCUCUCUGGUCUGCAACUGACGCUGAGGCUCGAAAGUAUGGGUAGCGAACAGG
rnacentral:rRNA from 1 species